rnacentral:tRNA from 1 species
GGCAAGAUGGCCGAGUGGUCUAAGGCGCUGUGUUCAGGCUCGCUUUGAGCGAUAACCUUGACAAAAAAAUCGCAGUCUCCCUGAGGCGUGGGUUCGAAUCCCACUCUUGUCA